GGGGAAAAAUUAAUAAUUAAUAAAAUAAUAAAAAAAUUUUUAAUAAAUAUUUAAUGGGGGUUAAAGUAUUUAUAAAGAAAAAAUUUAAAAAUUUAUAGUUAAUUAGUAUUGAGAAAGAAAUUUGAAAUAAAUUAAAAUAAAAUAAUUUAAAAGUAAUUUUAAUUUAGUGUAUCUUGUGUAUCAGAGUUUAUUAAUAAAAAUUUUUAGUGAAAAAAUUCUCGAAUUUAAAAGAGAUAAUUAAUUAAUAAAGUUAUUGUUGCAUAAAUAUUUUAAAUAAUUAAUUUGAAAUGAAAUGUUAAUCGUUUUUAAAUAUAUCUAGUUUUUAUAGAAAAAAAUUUAAUUUUAAAUUUACUUAAAAUUAAAUUUAUUAAUAAAUUUAAUUUUAAGUAAAUUUUAUAUUUUAGGGGAUAAGCUUUAAAUUAAAUUUGUAUAAAUAUAAUAUUAUUAAUUUAAAAUUUGUAUAAUUUAAAUUGUUAAUAAAUUUUAAUUUAUUAUAAAUAAUUUUAUUUAAAAUAUAAAAUUUAAUAAUUAUUUGCUUUUUUAUAUAAAAAUAAUUUUUAAUUUAAAUAAAUUAGUUAAAAUGAUAAAAUUAGUAUAUAAAAUAAAUAAAAUUAUUAAUUUUAUUUAAAUUAAUAAAAAGGAAUUCGGCAAAAAUUAAUAUUCACUUGUUUAUCAAAAACAUGUCUUUUUGAAAAUAAUUUAAAGUCUAAUCUGCCCACUGAUAAUUUAUUAAAGGGCUGCAGUAUUUUGACUGUACAAAGGUAGCAUAAUCAUUAGUCAUUUAAUUGAUGACUUGUAUGAAAGAUUGAAUGAAAUAUUAACUGUCUUUAUAUUAAUAUAUAUAAUUUAAUUUUUUAAUUAAAAAGUUAAAAUAAAUUAAAAAGACGAGAAGACCCUAUAGAGUUUUAUAUUAAAAUUAAUUAAGAUUUUUUAUAAAUAAGAAUUAUUUAUUAAAAUUAAUAAAAUAUUUUGUUGGGGUGAUAAAAAAAUAAAAAAAACUUUUUUUAAGUUAAUAUACAUAAAUAAGUGAUUUAUUGAUCCAAUAAUAUUGAUUAUAAGAAAAAAUUACCUUAGGGAUAACAGCGUAAUUUUUUUUUUUAGUUCGUAUAAAAAAAAAAGUUUGCGACCUCGAUGUUGGAUUAAGAUAAAAUUUAAAUGCAGAAGUUUAAAAUUUUGAUCUGUUCGAUCAUUAAAAUCUUACAUGAUCUGAGUUCAAACCGGUGUAAGCCAGGUUGGUUUCUAUCUUUUAAAAAAAAAAAUAUUUUAGUACGAAAGGAUUGAAUAUUUAAAUUAGAUUUAAUUAUGAAGAAUAUUAUUAAAAUAAGUUAAAGUAAAAUUUAUUUAAUUAAAUUGAU
rnacentral:rRNA from 1 species